rnacentral:rRNA from 1 species
AAUAUUGGACAAUGGGCGCAAGCCUGAUCCAGCCAUGCCGCGUGUGUGAAGAAGGCCUUCGGGUUGUAAAGCACUUUUGUCCGGGAAGAAAAGCUCUGGGUUAAUACCCUGGGGUCCUGACGGUACCGGAAGAAUAAGCACCGGCUAACUCCGUGCCAGCAGCCGCGGUAAGACGGAGGAGGCUAGCGUUGUUCGGAAUUACUGGGCGUAAAGCGCGCGCGGGCGGUUAUGCAAGUCAGGGGUGAAAGCCCGAGGCUCAACCUCGGAACGGCCUUUGCGACUGCAUGACUAGAGACCGGGAGAGGAGAGUGGAAUUCCCAGUGUAGAGGUGAAAUUCGUAGAUAUUGGGAAGAACACCAGUGGCGAAGGCGGCUCUCUGGCCCGGACCUGACGCUGAGGCGCGAAAGCGUGGGGAGCAAAC